CAAAAACAUGUCUCUUUGUAAAAUAUAAAUAGAGAGUCGGGCCUGCUCGGUGAAUAAGUUUUUAACAGCUGCGGUAUUUUAACUGUACUAAGGUAGCAUAAUAAUUUGCCUUAUAAUUUGAGGCUAGAAUGAAUGGUUUGACGAAGGUUAAUCUGUCUCCACCUUAUUUUUUAGAAGUUAAUUUUUAAAGUGAAAAAGCUUAAAUCUUUCAAAGGGACGAGAAGACCCUAAUGAGCUUAUAAUUUUAUUAUCAUUAUUUAAAAUAUUUAGGUGGUGGUAUAUAAAUUUUAAUUGGGGUGAUUAAGGAAUAAAUUGUGUAUAGUAACUUCCUUAAAUUAGGUAUUUGUAGAUAAAGUAACCAAUGUAAUAUUGCUUAUAGUAUAGUUACCAUAGGGAUAACAGCGUAAUUUGUUUAGAGAGUUCUUAUUGAAAAACGAGAUUGCGACCUCGAUGUUGGAUUAAAGUAACCCUAGGGUGCAGAAGCUCUAGUAGGUAAAUCUGUUCGA
rnacentral:rRNA from 1 species